AAUAGAUACCCGGGUAGUCCACGCCGUAAACGAUGAGUGCUAAGUGUUAGAGGGUUUCCGCCCUUUAGUGCUGAAGUUAACGCAUUAAGCACUCCGCCUGGGGAGUACGGCCGCAAGGCUGAAACUCAAAGGAAUUGACGGGGGCCCGCACAAGCGGUGGAGCAUGUGGUUUAAUUCGAAGCAACGCGAAGAACCUUACCAGGUCUUGACAUCCUCUGACAACCCUAGAGAUAGGGCUUCUCCUUCGGGAGCAGAGUGACAGGUGGUGCAUGGUUGUCGUCAGCUCGUGUCGUGAGAUGUUGGGUUAAGUCCCGCAACGAGCGCAACCCUUGAUCUUAGUUGCCAUCAUUAAGUUGGGCACUCUAAGGUGACUGCCGGUGACAAACCGGAGGAAGGUGGGGAUGACGUCAAAUCAUCAUGCCCCUUAUGACCUGGGCUACACACGUGCUACAAUGGACGGUACAAAGAGCUGCAAGACCGCGAGGUGGAGCUAAUCUCAUAAAAUCGUUCUCAGUUCGGA
rnacentral:rRNA from 1 species